AAUAUAUAACAAAUCAAAUUUUUUAUUUUAAAAAAGGGUUAAAUGCAUCCAUGUUCCUAUAAACAUUGUGAAUUAUAAAUAUAUUCCGACAAAGUUUAAUUUUUAUAUAUUGUCUCUACAAAAUUUCUAAUAUUUUCAAAUAGAUUGCUCCGAUUUGUUACUAUUAUAAAACUAUUUAUAUUCUAAGUGAAAUAUCAAUUUUGUUACUGUUGUAGAUUAACCAUUAUAAAAUUGUUUAUAUUCUAAGUGAAAUGUCAAUUCUGCCAUCAGAAAUAUGUCCUUCCAAAAGUCACAAUACUAUAAUAUAAGAGAAGAAAAAAUAUCAACUUAUCUCAUAAAUUAGACAGAGUUAGCAUUUAACCAAUGGUUAAUUAAAGUUUUUUAACAGAUUCUAACGGCAUGGACAUAUUUGAAAAUAUUAGAAUUUUUGAAAGGACAACAUAUGAAAGCUGAACUUUGUAGAUAUAUAUUUGAAAUUCACUAUAUUUGCAAGAAUCUGUAUGAAAUUAACCCUUAAAAGAAAAACACAAUACAAUUUUUUUUUUCUUUUAUAAAUUAUAGAGAUAAUUUCAUGUAGCUCCCUAUAAAGAUAUCGAAUAGCAUAUAUAUCGCUACAAAGUUCAAUUUUUCAGAUUUAUCACUCUAAGUCUAGUGGUUUCAAAUAUACCCCUACUAUUAGUAUCUGUUAGAAAAAUAUAGUUAACAAUAGGUAAAAAACAUAAUCUUGGUAAGUGAUUGAGGAAAAUUGACCAUUUUAC
rnacentral:lncRNA from 1 species